GUGUUUUUGGCAUUGGACUAACACAAGAAAUCUAUUGCUCUGAACUGGUAUCUCCAGACACUCACUACAGUGCCCAGGCCACUAGUCCUGUCUCUCCCUUGACAAGGGAGCCAUAUUUUUCUUCCCACUGAUAUGGUUUUCCAAUUGAAGUGGAGAAUCAGCCAGCAAGGAAGGCAUCCUAGUAGCAUCUUAGGACCAAGCUAGGAGCCUAAAACUCAGAAAUUCAGGACCAUAGGGGUAGGGAUACCUCUCAGGAAUGUUGUGAGGAAUAAUUAAUGUUUGCAAGGAGCCUUGAAGAAAAAAUGCUGGGAGAGCACAUGGGCUUGGAUUGCUGGUGCCUGAGCACCUGACUCCCAUUGAAACAACUGCUGAGUGCGUGUCUCUGGGGCUCUCAGCAUUAGUAUUACUCACCAGCUAAAGACGGGAAGAAGGGAAGUGAUUCAGCCUGCUCCUGUGGAUCUCUUGUGUCAGACCUUCAGGUCAGAACUGUUUCAUAGGGCAGGAGCUCUAUGUAAUACUCACGUCAGACCAUGGAGGCACAGAAGAACCAAGUCUGGAUAUGUCACUACGGCACAACACUUGGGCAGAGCUCUGUUGAAGUAAAUGUCACUAUGCCUGGAGUAAGAGGCUAU